AGGUCCCCUUAAUUUUUGGGGUCCCCCCUCCCUUUUCGGGGUGUCCCCCUCAAUCCCUUUUGGGGUCCCAAUUUUGGGGACCCUCCCACUUUUGGGGUCCCUCCCCCCAAUUUUUUGGGGUUCCCCCCCCCCAAUUUCAGGCUCUUUUCCCUCUCUGGGUCCCCCCCGAUUUUUGGGGUCCCCCCAAAUUUUUGGGAUCCCCCCAAUUUUGGGGACCCAUCAACUUUUGGGAUCCCUCAAUUUUGGGGUCCCCCCAUUUUUGGGGUCCCCCCCAAUUUUCGGGGUCUCUCCUAAUUUUUGGGGUCCCAAUUUUUGGGGUCUCUCCUAAUUUUUGGGGUCCAAAUUUUUGGGGUCCCCCCCAUUUUUUGGGGUCCCAAAUUUUGGAAUCUCUCCCAAUUUUUGGGGUCCCCAUUUUUUGAGGUCCCAUUUUUUGGGGUCCCCCCCAAUUUUUGGGGUCUCUCCUAAUUUUUGGGGUCCCAAUUUUGGGCCCCUCUCAAUUUUUUGAAGUCCCAAUUUUUGGGGUUCCCCCCCAAUUUUUGGGGUCUCCCCCCCCCGUGGCAGUGACGGGUUUUUGGGGUCUCCC
rnacentral:lncRNA from 1 species